rnacentral:lncRNA from 1 species
UACGAUGGAGUGGUAUAGGCAUAGAGGAAUGGUGGCGUAACGAGCAGUUUUGGGUGAUUGGAGGUGUCUCUGCCCAUCUCUUUACAGUUUUAUCUGCAUUAGAGAGGGCACAGAAGAUUAAAUAUGUGAUAUUCGAUAAAACAGGUACUCUGACCCAGGGAAAAGCUACAGUUACGACAGUAAAAGUUUUCACAGAGAUGAAUCGUGGAGAAUUACUUACUUGUAGCUUCAGCGGAGGUACAUUCAAAUCCUCAAGAUAGUUUCCUCACCUUUCCCAUAUUUUCUUUUGAUACUAUCUAUAUGUUGCUUUUCUUAAGGAAUUUGUGGCCAUUGAUUCCUCAAGGAAUUUGUGGCCAUUGAUUCCUUGUCUUUGUUGAACUGUUGGUAUUUGAAAGACCACCAUAUGUGAGAGUGAUGUGGAAGGUGCCAGUGCUAUGAGAUAGUUAUCCAUGAUGUAGCCAGUUUACUGAGGUCAAAGUGCUAAAACAGGGGUUGCAGUAUCAUUGAGUUUCCUUUCAAGGCAUUGUAUAGAUGCUGUACCAUUUGAGUUUUAUUCUAUGCACAUGCAGUUUAUCAAUGAUCCUUAGACAGGCUACAAAUUGUAGAUUAAAUUGCGGUAGCUUUGCUUGUCGUUUUGCAUUGCAGGUUGGCAUUCAUGAUGUUAGAGCAGAAGUAUUGCCUGCAGGAAAAGCUGAGGUCAUCCAAUUAUUUCAAAAGGGAGGAAAUGUAGUUGCUAUGGUAGGUGACGGAAUCAAUGACUCGCCUGCAUUAGCUGCUGCUGAUAUCGGUAUGGCAACUGGAGUAGGGACUGAUAUCGCAAUAGAAGCUACUGAAUACAUGUUAAUAAGGAGCAACUUAGAGGAUGUCAUCACCGCUAUAGAUCUGUCGAGGAAGACAUUUUCCCGUAUUAGAUGGAGUUAUGUCUUCGCCAUGGCAUUUAAUAAGACAUUUUUCCCGCAUUAGAUGGAGUUAUGUCUUCGCCCUGGCAUAUAAUGUGAUUCUCAGUGGCUGCUGGUGUUUUCUUUCCUUUAACAAAGCUCAAGCUGCCACCUUGGGUAGCUGGUGCAUGCAUGG